AGAGUUUGAUCCUGGCUCAGGAUGAACGCUGGCGGUCUGCUUAACACAUGCAAGUCGAACGCAAGUAGCAAUACUUGAGUGGCGGACGGGUGAGUAACGCGUGAGAAUCUGCCUUUUGGUCGGGGACAACCACUGGAAACGGUGGCUAAUACCGGAUAUGCCUAACGGUGAAAGAUUAAUUGCCAGAAGAGGAGCUCGCGUCUGAUUAGCUAGUUGGUGAGGUAAGAGCUCACCAAGGCAUCGAUCAGUAGCUGGUCUGAGAGGAUGAUCAGCCACACUGGGACUGAGACACGGCCCAGACUCCUACGGGAGGCAGCAGUGGGGAAUUUUCCGCAAUGGGCGAAAGCCUGACGGAGCAAGACCGCGUGAGGGAGGAAGGCUCUUGGGUUGUAAACCUCUUUUGUCAGGGAAGAACACAAUGACGGUACCUGAAGAAUCAGCAUCGGCUAACUCCGUGCCAGCAGCCGCGGUAAUACGGGGGAUGCAAGCGUUAUCCGGAAUUAUUGGGCGUAAAGCGUCCGCAGGUGGCUAAUCAAGUCUGCUGUCAAAGGUUGGGGCUUAACCCCAAAAAGGCAGUGGAAACUGAGAAGCUAGAGUGCAGUAGGGGUAGAGGGAAUUCCCGGUGUAGCGGUGAAAUGCGUAGAGAUCGGGAAGAACAUCGGUGGCGAAAGCGCUCUACUGGACUGCAACUGACACUCAGGGACGAAAGCUAGGGGAGCGAAUGGGAUUAGAUACCCCAGUAGUCC
rnacentral:rRNA from 1 species